CUUAGCAGCUCUACUACAGUGGAAGACCUAUUGACUUAAUAUUGGUUAAUCAGGUCUUAGUAUUUGCAACUUGAGCCCUUCAUAAGAGGUAAUCGAACAAUUGGCCAGGUAAGCAGGUGGGAGGCUCCCCUUACUCAGAGAGUAAGGUCCUAAUUAAGUAACCACCUUUCAUGCUUUCCUAGACACCAAUUAGAUCAAUUAAUCUAAUAUGACUUGCUCAUGUCGGUUCACUCUCGACUUGAUUGAGGGGGUUUUUGAUUUAGGUCUCAAUUGGGUUUGCUACAUCACAUGUAAACCUAUCUACCCGACUCGCAUUCACAUCACAUGCAAACGGCACAUCACAGGCAGUUAUAAUUGCAGCAUCAAAUUAAAGCUAAACUUUAAAUAGGUGAUGAUCAUAGAUUCUAGUUAGGUCGUAUUACAAGCACAUGCACGUCAAUCGAUCAACUGGUCUUCAACUCUUGAAUUGGUUCCAAGCCUCCUUGAUUCGAUCCUUGACCAACUCUUGAUCCAAUCGCCAUCAACCGCUUAGACCCCUGUUCAUCUCAUGCAUCGUCUUCGACUUGAUCGUUGACGUACAUCACAUCACAGAAAUACAACCAGAU
rnacentral:lncRNA from 1 species